CUGGCGGUAUGCUUAACACAUGCAAGUCAAACGAAUUCUUUCGGGGAAUUAGUGGCGGACGGGUGAGUAACACGUGGGAACCUACCUUCAGAAUGGGGAUAACAGUUGGAAACGACUGCUAAUACCCGAUGUGCCGAGAGGGUGAAAGAUUUAUCGUCUGAAGAAGGGCUCGCGGCUGAUUAGCUAGUUGGUAGGGUAAAGGCUUACCAAGGCAACGAUCAGUAACUGGUCCGAGAGGAUGAGCAGUCACACUGGAACUGAGAAACGGUCCAGACUCC
rnacentral:rRNA from 1 species